CCAAAUAUUAGUAGAUUUCAACAAACAUUGUAUUGAUUAGAAAAGUGGUUCAAACUGCUAGUACGAUGUCACUAUAUAAUACAUAUCAACAAUAUCAUUUAGGAAUCAUAAUUAUUUUCGAAAUUGCAUCAGAAAUUAGAAUUUAACAUUUAUUUGUGAGCUGCAGUAACCUCAAAGGCUUGAAAUUGGACAAACACAAAAUAUGCACAC
rnacentral:lncRNA from 1 species